rnacentral:rRNA from 1 species
CCUACGGGCGGCAGCAGUAGGGAAUCUUUCACAAUGGGCGAAAGCCUGAUGGAGCAACGCCGCGUGCAGGAUGAAGGCCUUCGGGUUGUAAACUGCUUUUAUAAGCGAGAAAUAUGAUGGUAACUUAUGAAUAAGGAUCGGCUAACUACGUGCCAGCAGCCGCGGUCAUACGUAGGAUCCGAGCAUUAUCCGGGUUGACUGGGUGUAAAGAGUUGCGUAGGGGGCAUAAUAAGUAGCUAGUGCAAUCUGGUGGCUCAACCAUUCAGACUAUUAGCUAAACUGUUAAGCUCGAGACCGUUAGGGGUAACUGGAAUUUCUGGUGUAGGAGUGAAAUCCGUAGAUAUUAGAAGGAACACCAAUAGCGUAGGCAGGUUGCUGGGACGGUUCUGACACUAAGGCACGAAAGCGUAGGGAGCAAACGGGAUUAGAUACCCUAGUAGUC